rnacentral:rRNA from 1 species
AUCCUGGCUCAGAUUAACGCUGCGGCAUGCUUACACAUNCAAGUCGAACGGCAGCACGGGCUUCGGCCUGGUGGCGAGUGCGAACGGGUGAGNAUAUAUCGGAACGUACCCAAGAGUGGGGGAUAACGUAGCGAAAGUUACGCUUAAUACCGCAUACGAUCUAUGGAUGAAAGCAGGGGACCGCAAGGCCUUGUGCUCCUGGAGCGGCCGAUAUCUGAUUAGCUAGUUGGUAGGGUAAAGGCCUACCAAGGCGCGAUCAGUAGCUGGUCUGAGAGGCCGACCAGCCACACUGGAACUGAGACACGGUCCAGACUCCUACGGAAGGCAGCAGUGGGGAAUUUAGGACAAUGGGCGCAAGCCUGAUCCAGCAAUGCCGCGUGAGUGAUGAAGGCCUUAGGGUUGUCAGCUCUUUUACCCGGGAUGAAAUGACAGU